CUGGAGCGGUGCGCUGACGCAGGAGGUGAAAUAAGUGGCGCGCAGGCGCAGGAGAGUGGGUGCAGAAGGGGCGCGCAGGCGCAGGAGGGGUGGGAGAGGCGCGCAGGCGCGGGCCUACUGGCGGUACUUUGAAGAGAGACUUCGAGACACUCGGACGCUGCUCGUGGUACUCGAUCACAUCUUGGUUUGGACAGACCAUACUGGACAGCACUGGUGUAAGAGGGUCCAUCUCUCACUCCCACAUCAAUGUCCAAUGGUUUCUCAUUCAGCUGGAAAGUGAAAUUGGAAAUCUUGCGAAAGAUGAAGAAAUGAAUGUGGUACGUUGAACUGCUGGGCCCACCCUCAAGACAUCGACAAAUGAAGGUGUGGAAGGGUUAAACCACUUAACAUUGAACAAAGGACAAUGCAUAUGAUGAGUUACAGGCUGAGUUGUAUCCCUCCACAAUUCAUACGUUGAAGUCCUAACCUUUAGUACCUCAGGAUGUAACUUACUUGGAAACAGGAUCAUUAUAGAAGUUAAAAUGAGGUCAUUAGGGUGGGCCCUAAUCUUACUAACCUGUCCUUAUAAAAGGGAAAUUUGAACACAGAGACACCCAGAGGGAAGAUGAUGUGAAGACACAGAGAGAAGACAGCCAUCAGCAAGCCAAGGAGAGAAGUCUGGAAUGGAUCCUCCCCUCACAGCCCUCAGAAGGAACCAAGCCAGCUAGCCUCUCGAUCUUACACUUUUAGCCUCCAGAUCUGUGAGACAAUAAAUUUAUGUUGUUUAAGCCCUCCAGUCUGUGGUACUUUGUAAUGUAGCCCCAGCAAACUAAAACAUGGGUUGGCUGGUGGCAUUAGAACAAUUUGCCCAUGAAAAGGUUACGGGAGCCUAUAGGACAAUUGAAGAUGCAUUCUACUUUCUGCCUGCACUGUGCAUCUAGUGAAGAAAAAAAAAAAAACCUCAAUAACUAUCAGCAAUUCAUGGUGUCACGGAGGCUCCCUUUGCACAUGUCUUGGGGAAAGGAGAGGAUAAAUGGAUAGUGGAAGUUCAAGCCUCCAUCCCUUAUUAUCUGUGUAAUGGGCCAACACACCUCAUUCCUUGAGUUCCUGGCAAGUAGAACUUUCUCCACUAAAGUUUCUGACAAAAGGCCUUCUCCAAAUAAGACCCAAUGAGACAUUUGGGAUUCAUUGCCUCCUACUUUCUAGAAACAAAUAGAAAAGGCAGGAAGCACAUCUAACAACAUUGGUGGCCAGCUCAAGGAGUUUACACACCCUACCAUGACCCUGGUAGAGUAGAGACAGCAUGAGUUGAAGCCUGCUACUCAGAACUCACUGCAACUAAAUGUGUGUGUGUGUGUGUGUGUGUGUGUGUGUGUUUCUGCAGUUCCAAUCACAGAUUGCCUGCCACACAGUGGAGCCCUCUCUUGGACUCUGAAUGCAUAGCCCAACAAAGCCAAGCAACUGAAUCUCACCAUCAGAACAGCUGAGAGCAGCUCCAUCAAAGCAGUCAGUGGUACAUGUGAUCAAUUUGUUUUUUGUAUUUCUGGGCUACAAAAUGUCUCUUAAGUUUCAUCAUGGGACCUAUCGAGAAAGGAGAAAUCAAUUGAGUUGUGGAGGUAAAAGAAAAUUCCAUACACCCAUGCAUGACCAGGCAACAGAGUCCCAUGCCUGGGGCUAGGCUGGGUGGCUGGCUGUGCCAUUGACUUUCAGGGUGUGUAACUUUUGCCAUCUGUAUGGGGAUGAUAAAACUUCCAUGUGAUCCUUCAGCUGUGGUGAGGAUUCUGUGAGCUGGAAGGUGAAGAGCAUGCUGCAUUCUGUGCCUGAUGUGGACUGUGCACCCAAUGGAGGAGGGAUAUCAUCAUCUCAAACCAUGCCCCUAUCCCCAUUUUACAGGUGAGGAAACUGGGGCAUAGAGAGGACCAGUUCCUCUGAGGUCAGCCAGCAAGUGCAUGGCAGAAUCAAGUCUCAAACUGGGAGUUGUCUGCUCCUUCAGCCCAGGACUUUCAUUGAAAGCCUCUGAGUCACCAGGGGCAUUGAAACCCCUCUGGGUGUCUCAAGCAACCCCACAAGGACUGUGUUUUCAACUUAUAGAUGAGAAGACCACCAGCCUGGACAACAUGGCAAAACACCAUCUCUACAAAACAAAAAGAGAAUAGCGGCCGGGUGCGGUGGCUCAUGCCUGUAAUCCCAGCACUUUGGGAGGCCAAGGCGGGUGGAUCAUGAGGUCAAGAGAUCAAGACCAUCCUGGCCAAAAUGGUGAAACCCUGUCUCUACUAAAAAUACAAAAAAUUAGCUGAGCAUGGUGGCGCGCACCUGUAGUCCCAGCUACUCGGGAGGCUGAGGCAGGAAAAUCACUUGAACCUGGGAGAUGGAGUUUGCAGUGAGUCGAGAUAGUGUCACUGCACUCCAGCCUGGCGACAGAGUGAGACUCCGUCUCAAAAAAACAAAGAAAGAAAAUAGCCAUGCAUGGUGGCACGCACUUGUCCCAGCUACUCAGGAGGCUGAGGUGGGAUGAGGUGGGAGGAUCGCUUGAGCCUGGGAGUUAAGGCUGCAGCAGCAAGUCAUGAUUGUGCUAUCGUACUCCAACCUGGGUAGCAGAGUGAGACUCUGUCUCCAAACAAACACACACACACACAAAAACAAGACUCAGUGGGUCAAGUCACUUCCCUGUGUAGAGGGGACAGGAUUUGAACCCAGGUUGUUCAAUGCCACAUACUUGCUCUGACUCUUCCAUCCACACCAUCAGAUUACAGCUGAGCGCCGACAGCAAACUCCCAAAUGAAAGUACGUUAGUAGAAUCCAGUAUCCCCACUCUGGAGUGAGCCCUUCCCUCAUGGGGGAAGAGAGGCAAAAAUAAAACUCAUACAGAGACUAA